AGUGCGCUGAGGAGUCCCACAAUAGGACGAAACGGCCGUCCAGU
rfam:Schistosoma margrebowiei strain Zambia genome assembly, scaffold: SMRZ_contig0006020